rnacentral:rRNA from 1 species
CCUACGGGAGGCUGCAGUGGGGAAUCUUGCGCAAUGGACGGAAGUCUGACCGAGCAACGCCGCGUGAGUGAAGAAGGUUUUCGGAUCGUAAAACUCUGUUGUUAGAGAAGAACAAGUGGGAGAGUAACUGUUCUCACCUUGACGGUAUCUAACCAGAAAGCCACGGCUAACUACGUGCCAGCAGCCGCGGUAAUACGUAGGUGGCAAGCGUUGUCCGGAUUUACUGGGUGUAAAGGGCGCGCAGGCGGCCCUGGAAGUCAGAUGUGAAAGAUCAAGGCUUAACUUUGACAGGUCAUCUGAAACUUUGGGGCUUGAGUAUCAGAGGGGAAAGUGGAAUUCCUAGUGGAGCGGUAAAAUGCACAGAGAUUAGGAGGAACACCGGUGGCGAAGGCGACUUUCUGGCUGACAACUGACGCUGAGGCGCGAAAGCGUGGGGAGCA